CCUCCCUUAAUUUGAAAUUUACCCUGUUCCAGGGUUUUCAUUACAUAACCUGUUCCAGGUUACCUCCCUUAGUUGAGAUGUACCCUGUUCCAGGGCUUAGUUAUAUAACCUGUUCCAGGUUACCUUCCUUAGAGAUUUACCCUGUUCCAGGGCUGAGUUAUGUAACCUGUUCCAGGUUACCUCCCUUAGUUGAGAUGUACCCUGUUCCAGGGCUUAGUUAUAUAACCUGUUCCAGGUUACCUUAAUUAGUGGAGAUUUGCCCUGUUCCAGGGAUUAAUUAUGUAACUUGUUCCAGGUUACCUCCCUUAGUUGAGAUGUACCCUGUUCCAGGGCUUAGUUAUAUAACCUGUUCCAGGUUACCUUACUUAGUGGAGAUUUGCCUUGUUCCAGGGCUUAGUUAUGUAACCUGUUCCAGGUUACCUCCCUUAGUUGAGAUGUACCCUGUUCCAGGGCUUAGUUAUAUAACCUGUUCCAGGUUACCUUCCUUAGAGAUUUACCCUGUUCCAGGGCUUAGUUUAAUGUAACCUGUUCCAGGUUACCUUACUUAGUGGAGAUUUGCCUUGUUCAAUGGCCAUUAGAAUUCCAGGGAAUUCUUUUUCCCCAUUCAGAUAAUAACUACCUUUACAGGUUAUAUCAAAUUAAUUAAUUGGAUCAUGUGUUUUUAAUAUGAAGUUAUGGUUAUAUUUUAGUAAAUGUAUACAACAUGGUGAGUAGCCCCCAAGAAGAGCCAAAAUUAAGAUUGUAAUUCAUGUUGCUGAGAAAUCUAAAAGUAAUAAAUCAUAUUCGAAUUUUA